rnacentral:tRNA from 1 species
UCUUUGGAGGACUAGUGGUUAGGCCACAGUGCUCUCACCGCUGCAGCCCAGGUUCGAUUGCUGGCCAGGGAA